rnacentral:rRNA from 1 species
UACGGGGGGAGCAAGCGUUGUUCGGAUUUACUGGGAGUAAAGGGCGCGUAGGCGGCCUGUGCAAGUCAGUUGUGAAAUCUCCGGGCUUAACUCGGAACGGUCAACUGAUACUGCUCGGCUAGAGUGCGGAAGGGGCAACUGGAAUUCUUGGUGUAGCGGUGAAAUGCGUAGAUAUCAAGAGGAACACCCGUGGCUAAGGCGGCUCUCUAGUACGGUACUGACGCUGAGACGCGAAAGCGUGGGGAGCGAACAGG